AUUGAACGCUGGCGGCAUGCUUUACACAUGCAAGUCGAACGGUAACAGCACUUCGGUGGCUGACGAGUGGCGAACGGGUGAGUAAUACAUCGGAACGUGCCUAGUAGUGGGGGAUAACUACUCGAAAGAGUAGCUAAUACCGCAUGAGAUCUAAGGAUGAAAGCAGUGGACCUUCGGGCCUUGCGCUACUAGAGCGGCUGAUGGCAGAGUAGGUAGUUGGUGGGAUAAAAGCUUACCAAGCCGACGAUCUGUAGCUGGUCUGAGAGGACGACCAGCCACACUGGGACUGAGACACGGCCCAGACUCCUACGGGAGGCAGCAGUGGGGAAUGUUGGACAGAGGGCGCAAGCCUGAUCCAGCAAUGCCGCGUGCAGGAUGAAGGCCUUCGGGUUGUAAACUGCUUUUGUACGGAACGAAAAGCCCUCUCCUAAUACGGGGGGGUCAUGACGGUACCGUAAGAAUAAGCACCGGCUAACUACGUG
rnacentral:rRNA from 1 species